CUAGGAUGAACGCUGGCGGCGUGCUUAACACAUGCAAGUCGAACGGAGUUUUUAACGGAAGUUUCGGAUGGAAGUUUAAGAACUUAGUGGCGGACGGGUGAGUAACGCGUGGGUAACCUGCCUCAUACAGGGGGAUAACAGUUAGAAAUGACUGCUAACACCGCAUAAUAUAGUGAAACCGCAUGAUUUUUGCUAUCAAAUAUUUAUAGGUAUGAGAUGGGCCCGCGUCUGAUUAGCUAGUUGGUGGGGUAAAAGCUUACCAAGGCGACGAUCAGUAGCCGGCUUGAGAGAGUGACCGGCCACAUUGGGACUGAGACACGGCCCAAACUCCUACGGGAGGCAGCAGUGGGGAAUAUUGGACAAUGGGGGAAACCCUGAUCCAGCGAACCGCCGCGUGAGUGAAGAAGUAUUUCGGUAUGUAAAGCUCUAUCAGCAGGGAAGAUAAUGACAGUACCUGACUAAGAAGCCCCGGCUAACUACGUGCCAGCCGCAGC
rnacentral:rRNA from 1 species